rnacentral:rRNA from 1 species
GACGAGGGGUCCUAGCGUUGCUCGGAAUCAUUGGGCGUAAAGCGGGUGUAGGCGGCUUAGCAAGUCAGAAGUGAAAGUCCUGGGCUCAACCCGGGAAGUGCUUUUGAAACUGCUGAGCUUGAGUGUAGGAGAGGGCAGUAGAAUUCCUGGUGUAGUGGUGAAAUACGUAGAUAUCAGGAGGAAUACCGGAGGGGAAGCCGGCUGCCUGGCCUAACACUGACGCUCAGACCCGAAAGCGUGGGGAUCAAAC